UACGUAGGGUGCGAGCGUUGCCCGGAUUUAUUGGGCGUAAAGGGCGCGCAGGCGGCCACGCACGUCCGUUGUGAAAUCGCCCGGCUCAACUGGGCGGGGUCAGCGGAUACGGCGUGGCUGGAGCAAGCUAGGGGGCAAUGGAAUUCCCGGUGUAGUGGUGGAAUGCGUAGAGAUCGGGAAGAACAUCGGUGGCGAAGGCGGUCUGCUGGGCCGUUGCUGACGCUGAGGCGCGACAGCGUGGGGAGCAAACAGG
rnacentral:rRNA from 1 species